AUUGAACGCUGGCGGCAGGCCUAACACAUGCAAGUCGAGCGGAUGAAGGGAGCUUGCUCCUGGAUUCAGCGGCGGACGGGUGAGUAAUGCCUAUGAAUCUGCCUGGUAUUGGGGGAUAACGUCUGGAAACGGGCGCUAAUACUGCAUACGUCCUGAGGGAGAAAGUGGGUGAUCUUCGGACCUCACGCUAUCAGAUGAGCCUAGGUCGGAUUAGCUAGUUGGUGGGGUAAAGGCCUACUAAGGCGACGAUCCGUAAGUGGCCUGAGAGGCUGAUCGGUCACACUGGAACUGGGACACGGUCCAGACUCCUACGGGAGGCAGCAGUGGGGAAUGUUGGACAAUGGGCGAAAGCCUGAUCCAGCCAUGCCGCGUGUGUGAAGGAGGUCUUCGGAUUGUAAAGCACUUUAAGUUGGGAGGAAGGGCAGUAAGUUAAUACCUUGCUGUUUUGACGUUACCGACAGAAGAAGCACCGGCUAACUUCGUG
rnacentral:rRNA from 1 species